rnacentral:rRNA from 1 species
CCUACGGGUGGCAGCAGUGGGGAAUAUUGGACAAUGGGCGAAAGCCUGAUCCAGCCAUGCCGCGUGUGUGAAGAAGGCCUUCGGGUUGUAAAGCACUUUCAGUGGAGAAGAAAGCCUUGGGGCUAAUACCCUCGAGGAAGGACAUCACCCACAGAAGAAGCACCGGCUAACUCCGUGCCAGCAGCCGCGGUAAUACGGAGGGUGCGAGCGUUAAUCGGAAUUACUGGGCGUAAAGCGCGCGUAGGCGGUCUGAUAAGCCGGUUGUGAAAGCCCCGGGCUCAACCUGGGAACGGCAUCCGGAACUGUCAGGCUAGAGUGCAGGAGAGGAAGGUAGAAUUCCCGGUGUAGCGGUGAAAUGCGUAGAGAUCGGGAGGAAUACCAGUGGCGAAGGCGGCCUUCUGGACUGACACUGACGCUGAGGUGCGAAAGCGUGGGUAGCAAACAGGAUUAGAUACCCCUGUAGUC